AUCAUAAACGGAAACAUGUCUUUCACUUUCCGGCUCAUGAGAGCUCACUUCCCGGGCUGCUCACAGCGCUUCUGAGCUUUGGGCGCCCUGGCACGCCGAGGCAGCAGUGAGGCGCCUGGUUGGUGUCUGAGGGUACUGGAAGGUCUCCCCUGAGAUGAGAUUUCACCCAUAUCGUACAUGUCACUGAGCUUCAGAAGCAGUCUUGGUUUCCAUCGUGGGGUUUUGGGGAACCUCAGUGUGAUUCUGAGGUACAUUUGGCAGAACUCCCAAGGUAAAGCAAAAACUAAUGAAGACAGCUCAGUAAUUGUGCUGAGAUCAGCUGUAGAAGAUAAUCCUGGCAUGAGGAGAUUGUGACCACUGAUUCACAGACCACCAAUCUGGGAAACCCUGACUCGGAAGAAAGGAAAGACUGGGUAUGUGGACUAACCAGUAUAAGAAGCGAGGGAAUCGUCUAACCAAUAGAAGAAAUACUAAUUAAUAUGAAAAACUUUGUAGGUUGUGGCCAAUGAGCGUUAAUGCCUUUGUCUGCUAAAAUGUAAAAAAAUGUUGACAGUCAUGGUGCUGACUUUGUGAAUUUGCCACCAAGCACCUCUUUCUGUGCAAGGCAGAACUGUAAAUAAAUCAAAUACCUUGA